AUGGACCCAGCGGACUCAGCUCACCUCGAGAGGGAGGUGGACCUUGCUCGCAUCCUCGGACUGAUGACUCGCAUUAGCCACGCCUCGGAUUUGCAGACAUUCUCAGUCGGGUUGAAUGCCAUACAAGCCAUAUUCGACAGAAGUCCUCAACUGCGCCAGCUUUCUAUUGCCUCGGAGUUCGGCCGUUCGCUGACCCAGGCUAAGGAGGCAGUCAAAGCCCGGGAGCUGGCCCAAUUCACCCUCAUCUCCUCAUCCACACUGCCUCAGUCACAGCGAGCAAGCCCUCUCACGCCGCCACAGCGGACAGAGCUUUCUUCAGCCCCGCUGCAGCAGCUGCAGUCGCAGCAUCGGACUCUUUCCUCCCUCACGUCUGGUUCCGACCACCCUUCACCUGCCUCGUGCCUGGCAGGAAUGUGGUCGGAGGAUGAGGGUCUGGUCACCGUUGCUCCGACACCUUCCGUUUCCUCUGCCGCUCCCGUUUCCAAGAGAAAGCGGCGUUCUCGUCGUCGCCGUCCCUCACCGCAACCCGAGUCCAGUUCCUGCUCUGAACUGUUGGACGUGUUUGAGGAAGUUCCGGUGUCAGAUGACCUUAUUUCAUUUGAGUCGAAGGAAGCUUUGUGUUCAGUAACUGAGAAAGGUGUGUUUGAGUUUCAUUCUGAAAAGACUGGAGUUUCUGUUUUUACUUCUCAGCCAAGUUAUGUUGCUCCUGAGCCACCGGUUUUUGGAUCAGUUAAUAGUAAAAGGAUGGCUUCGGGAGCACUAGUUAAUAUUGAGCUUUCAGAUGUCAUGUGUGGGUCUGUUAUGGAAUUUUGUGACCUUAACAAUAAUAAUCUCACUCAGGAUAUUAAGAGUCCUGUCCAGAAGACUGUUUGCUGCUUCACACAAAAGACAAUCUUUCCAACCACUGAACUAAACAUGGACCGCUUAACCUUCCCGCUAAAUCCUUUCAACACUGUUCAGGCUACACCUCUUGAAACUGUUGUUGAUGUUGCUUCACCCAAGUGCUGUGCGGCUUUCCAGCCAGUUCAUUCUGUGACUACAUGUGACAAAUUUCAUGUUCCUAUAACCUCUCCUGAGUUAAAAAUCACUAGCCCAGAGAAUGCGAAUUCCAAGUCUGUUUGUGUAACUCACUGUGAUGUCGUUAACACUGUGCAUUCUGUGACUGUCCAGGCUAAGAGCACCAAGGUGUCAUCUGCUAUAAACAAGCUGGCAAAAGAACUUGGUUUAAAUACUGCAGAGUUGGUAGCUCUAGUUAAAGUCUUGGUUCCCCGAUCUUGUUUGUAUAACUCUGUGCACCACGCUUUUCAGCCACUAGCCCUGGACACUGUGUGUGCAACUUCCCAGGCUGCGUUUUGUAAGACUGUGUUUAAUGUUGCUUCACACCCUGUUAAUUCAGACUCCGCUUGUAUGAUUUCUCCAGCACCUGUGACUGCCCCUGAACUCGUCUUUUCUAAGACUACUAAUGUCAGCUUGGACAAUUUAAGAAUAACAGUUUUACCAAGGUCAGCCUGCCAUAAGUCUUGGUUUUCUAGAACCAUGUCUGGUACCAUAAACCUGGUUUUCCCUGUGACUGUUACAGCUCCUCUGCUCCGCUCUCCACAUCCAGUUCCCAGGCAGACUAUGGCUCCGUUCAUCCCUGCACCCGGCCGGAGUCGCCCGUCCAGCCUCAAGUGUCGUCAGCUGGAGGGCCGGAGUCGCCCGUCCAGCCUCAAGUGUCGUCAGCUGGAGGGCCGGAGUUGCCCGUCCAGCCUUAUGCCACGUCUGCUGGUGGGUCCGAGGAGCCCACCCAGCACCACACCUCUUUAGCUGAGGGUCCUGGAAGACCCAGACAGCACAUCCUUCCGUCGGCUGGCGGUCCGGGGAGGGCUGUUCAGCCGUCACCCACAUCGUCAUCAUCCACGCCUGCAGCCGCCUCCUCAUCCACGCCUGCAGCCGCCUCCUCAUCCACGCCUGCAGCCGCCUCCUCAUCCACGCCUGCAGCCGCCUCCUCAUCCACGCCUGCAGCCGCCUCCUCAUCCACGCCUGCAGCCGCCUCCUCAUCCACGCCUGCAGCCGUCCCGCUGCCCUCAGGUUCCGCAGCCGUCUCGCUGCCAUCAUCCACGUCUGGUCCGGCCUCCGUGUCUUCAUCCACGUCUGGUCCGGCCUCCGUGUCUUCAUCCACGCCUGGUCCGGCCUCCGUGUCUUCAUCCACGCCUGGUCCGGCCUCCGUGUCUUCAUCCACGCCUGGUCCGGCUUCAGCUUCGCCUUUGUCUGGCCCUGCCUCGUCUACGUCUGGCCCUGCGGUUGCCGCACCGUCAUGGGACCCAGCUCGUCCUGUUCCGCCUCGCCUCUGCUGGCCGCUUUCUAGGCCUCUAGUUGGGCGUUAUGGCCGUCGAGGCCGGCCUCCGGAGAGAGAUCAUCGCCGCUGCUGGCAUCGCGGCCGACCUCCGGAUCUGCUCAGUGGCCGCCACUGCCUUCCGAGUGGUAGGCCUCCUGAACUGUUUGCCCGUCGCCACCAUUGCCAUGUACACGGCCGGCCCCCUGAACUGUCUUGGUCCUUGUGUUGUCAACCUCCGGGUCGACCCCCUGACUUUACUGUGGAUUCAUGAAUAGCCUUGUUUUGUGUUGACCUGUGUUCUUGUGUUUUUUGGUCUGUUUGUGGACUCUUGUUGAGCUGUAGUUUGGUUUCCUUUCUUGAUGUGUUUUCCUGUGUUCUGGACUCUUCUGCUCCUUGGUUUUUUGUUUCGGUCCCUCCGUCCUGGACCCCCUCCACCCGCCCUGGCCUGGUGCUUUUUUGUUUAGGGCUGUCGGGAGCCAGCCCUUGGAGGGGGGGUACUGUCACGGUUCUGGGUCCGUUGGACCCAGUAUUUUGAGUUUAUUAUGUUUUGGUUUAAUUUUGCAUUAUGGAUUGUUUUCUUAUUCUCUUGUAGUGCUUGUGUUGACGACGACGACGAUGAUGAUGACUAUUAUUAUUAUUAUUAGUAGAGUUUCGGUUUAUUUGUGUUUUGGAAUUGUGGUCAUGUAUUGUUUGAGUUCCAUGUGUUAUAUUCUGCCUCUCAGUCUGCGUCCUUGUUUAGUGGUUUAUGGUUUCCUGUUUUGUUUUGAAGGCGUGUGCUUUAUGUUAAUGUGAGCAGCUUUGUUCCCCCUGUCUCGUUAGCCCUGAUCUCUCCCUGCUGUGCUCUCCUCCUGUUUCACAUUCCCUAAUUACCUCAGUAUGUAUUUAAGCCCUGUGUUUUUCCCUGCCUGGUGUUGCGUCCUCCUGUGUGUGUGUGUGUGUGUGUGUGUGUGUGUGUGUGUGUGUGUGUGUGUGUGUGUGUGUGUGUGUGUGUGUGUGUGUGUGUAUUGUCAUCUACCGUCAGCAUCUCCGGUCUAGUUAAGUUUAAGUUGUUGUUCAUGUAAUACCAAGCAUGAUUCUCCAGCAAAUAAAGCUGCCGUUUAAGUUCAUGUUUUGUCUCCGAGUCCUGCACGUGGGUCCAGCCACUGACAGCCACACAACUCACCGUGACAGAGACAGCUAGCCAAGUGACCUUUUCAGUUUCAGCUGACUGCAGGUUUCCCCAACUUUAUAAACAGAUCAUGAAACUGAUGUCAUUGUUAGUCAGUGGUGCCAGU
rnacentral:lncRNA from 1 species